ensembl:lncRNA
GCUGGGUGACCUCUCGUUUGGGGCUCUACUCAGCUCUUCCCAGGAGGGUGGCACGGUUGCCCGUGGUCCUCCUUGGGUCCUCGUACUCUGGGGCCUGGAUCUCCUCCAUACCUGCUUCAUCCCCUGGGGGACGGGGCUAUGGCUCCCCACACUCCCUAGCAGAUCGUUACUUGGAGAAACCUUUUAAAUACAAGCGUGUUGAUCCACACAGGUUCACAGACACAAACUACACCUUUCUUGGCUGCUACCUCAAAGCACAUUGUGUGCUGCCGAUCUUGCGUACUGCACAAUAACAUUUAAUAUUUAGUAUCUACUGUUAUCUACUGUUAGCUAGUUUAUUGUGAUGGUGUUGUAUUUAUUAUGUUGUUCUUUUUGUUUGUUUUCUCUUCUUUCUUUCUUUUUAUCUCCAUACAGGUGAUCCAGGUUUUUUGUUUGUUUUUCUUUUUUUUUCUUUCCCCCUUUCUCACCAUCUCUUCUCUCCUCUAUUUUUCUUUCUCUCCCUCUCUUUCUUUCAUCCUUUCUCCCUGUCCUAUCCUCCAGUCUCAUCUGUAACAACCAAAAAUCAAAUCAAAUAAAUACAUAAUUAUAAUAAAGGUCACUCAAAUGGACCAAUAUGGCAAGGCCAUGAUGAUCCACUUGGUAAAGUAAAUCCGCUUGGCAUCUUUCUUGGAUUUCAGACAACAAUUCUGAUGCCUAAAGAUCCAAAUGGGACAGGCAAAAUAAAUAAAUAAAUAAAUAAAUAAUACAAUUUAAAAAUGAAGAUAUAAAUACAAAUCCAGGAUCAGGUAGGUUAGGCAAACAAAAUUUAAUGGCAAUAAAGCUAAAAAGGCCAUGGAGCACAGGGAACAUCCGUCCAUCCAUUUGGAGAAUAGCCCAGCUGUCAUCGGGCCCCACAGGGGGAACAAACAGAGAAGCAGAUGAUCUGACAGAGCAAAGGGAAAGACAAGGCUACACUGGAAACGAGGCACAGGUGGACACAGUUAGGAAAGUGUAGAGGCAGACAUACAGGAACUCAAACUCAGAGGUGGCCUUCACAAGGAAAACCCAUUAACUAAGC